UACGGAAGGCAGCAGUGGGGAAUAUUGCACAAUGGGCGAAAGCCUGAUGCAGCUAUGCCGCGUGUAUGAAGAAGGCCUUAGGGUUGUAAAGUACUUUCAUCGGGGAGGAAAAACAAAACUAAUAAUUUUAUUUCUUGACGUUACCCGAAAAAGAAGCACCGGCUAACUCCGUGCCAGCAGCCGCGGUAAUACGGAGGGUGCUAGCGUUAAUCAGAAUUACUGGGCGUAAAAGAGCACGUAGGUGGUUUUUUUAAAGUCAGAUGUGAAAUCCCUGGGCUUAACCUAGGAACUGCAUUUUGAAACUGAAAUACUAGAGUAUCGUAGAGGGAGGUAGAAUUCUAGGUGUAGCGGUGAAAUGCGUAGAUAUCUGGAGGAAUACCUGUGGCGAAAGCGGCCUCCUAAACGAAUACUGACACUGAGGGUGCGAAAGCGUGGGGAGCAAACAGGGAUUAGAUACC
rnacentral:rRNA from 1 species